CCCCGACCGCCGGGCGGCGCAGCGUCCUGAGGGGCGGGCCCGGCAGGCACCACCCUCGAAGAGGCGGAACCUGCCCAGGCGGAGGUCCGGACCCCGGUACCUGAUAGGAGCCGCCGGUCAGGGCCAGCUCCGCUAGGACCGCUCGGCCAUUAGCGACACAGCUGGAAAACUGAAGGCAGCCACAAUAUAGUAUGAGUAAAGAAAUUUGAAAUAGGUGAAAAAUAAAAAAUAAAAAAAGAAUGGAAAAUAAAGAUGGAAUGAAGACAAAAGAGACCUCACUAUCCUUCUGUCACCGCCUUGGCUUUCACAUAUUUGUUUCCUGAUUACCCUUUUGUGCUCUGAUGAUGGACAGGAUUUGCUGAGAACAAGUAGAGGGUCUAGUGCUGGACCAUUUGGCUUUUGGUGGCUGUCUCUUUAAUUACAAAGAGUUCUGAGGAGACCCAUAAUAAAACAGACAAAGAAGGAAGUGUGGGGUAGAGGACUGUGGUUUGCAAUUUGCAAUUCUGUUCCUCCACUGGUUCUUAAGGGAGUUGGGCAAAAAUAAUUUAUAUGUUCUUCACAUCUUUGAGGAAUGCAUUAUUUAACCAGAUGGAGAAACUGAGGCAGCACGUGGUUAAUUGUUUUUCCCCACCUUCCACAUGUAUGAAACAUCAAAUUUGAAAUUACCAUUUAUGAAUAUCUUCUGCCUUCCAGCUCUGUGCUGCAGAAAGAAAUUGCCAGUGGAUGAGAUGGUUCAAGUUAUGUGGACCUCUUCUUCCCUUGUGCCCCCCGAGUUCCUGCUUACCUAAAUGACACUUUGUUUCCCACAAAUGAUCCUGGCUGCUCUCUCAAAUCUGUGGAAUUUUCAGAUAUCUCUUCUUCAAGUGGAAGAGUAUCCUAACAUAUUCAGGGGAUGACUAUCAGAGUCUGUGGCUACACUGGAGUUGGAAGAUUGUUGUAGUCAAAGAAUCCAUUGAACUUUGGCCUUUGUGGACAGUUAACCUGGGAAUGGAGCAGCACCGUAUGCAUCCGUCCUUUCCAUCAAGGAAAAGCAAACCUUUUCAGAAACACACCUUCCAAUAACUUCUUAAGCCUCCCUGCUUAAUCCUGAGUCAAAAGGUACCCUGCCCCCCUGCCCCCAACUUCAAGAAAACAAGGGACAAGACUGUCAAGAGUGACCAAGACAAAUCCUGAUCCAUUGCCUAUGUCUGGGCAUAGUGACCUUUGCACAAGAUUGGAGUUCUAUUAGCAAGGAAGCAAGGUGGGAAAUGAACAUUGCAAAAAGGUAGUUAACACAGGGUGUUCGACUACUGACGUUCUUCCAUAGAAACAAUAUUGGGACAUUGGUAUAUUGGCAUAUUUAUAUAUUUUUACCUCUUGCAAAUAUAGUAAACGUAUUCUUUACUAUA